UCCGGGCGGACGCCGAGUCCUGCCGCCGCCCGGAUGACCGGUCGACAGGAGUGGAUCGGCAGGAGUGGAGGACCCAAGCAAGACGGGUCGCCGGAGCGGACGUUCGUUCGAUCCGAGCAGCCCUUGGGGUGAAGCCGCGGCAACGCGGCCGGGCAACUUCGCCAGCCCGAAUCCGACAGGUCAUCCUUCACAGGCGGCUGACGAAGGGUUG
rfam:Streptomyces viridochromogenes strain NRRL 3414 P001contig45.1, whole genome shotgun sequence.